GAUGAACGCUGGCGGCGUGCUUAACACAUGCAAGUCGAACGGAAAGGCGCUGCUCUUGCGGCGUGCUCGUUUGGCGCGGGGGUGAGUAACACGUGUGUAACCUGCCCCUGACUUACGGAUAUCAUCACGAGACAGCGGCUAAUACCGGAUAUGAUAUCCUGCAGCAUGUUGGGCGUUGGAGAGAUUCGGCGGUUGUGGAUGGUCUGGCGGCUUAUCCGCUUGUUGGUGGGGUAGUGGCUUACCAAGGGUUUGAGGGGUAGCCGGCCUGAGAGGUUGACCGGGCACAUGGGGACUGCGAGACGGAGCAGUCUGGUACGGUACGCAGUAGGGGGGAGUAUUGCGGAGUGGCCGGGAGCCUGAGACGGAAACGUUGCGUGCGGGAUGACCUGUUUCGGGUUGUAAACCGCUGUCGCCUGAGACGAACCGUGAGUGACGGUAAUGGGUAAAGAAGCACCGGCUAACUACGUG
rnacentral:rRNA from 1 species